rnacentral:tRNA from 1 species
CUAUCAGAAGAUAGUUUAAUUUAGAAUUCUGGCUUUGGGAGCCAGGGGUGGGAGUUAAAUUCUCCCUCUUCUGGG